CAGUUCGGAUUGUAGUCUGCAACCCGACUACAUGAAGCUGGAAUCGCUAGUAAUCGCGGAUCAGAAUGUCGCGGUGAAUACGUUCCCGGGUCUUGUACACACCGCCCGUCACACCAUGGGAGCCGGAAAUGCCCGAAGCCAGUGACCCAACCUUAGGGAGGGAGCUGUCGAAGGUGGAGCCGGUAACUGGGGUGAAGUCGUAACAAGGUAGC
rnacentral:rRNA from 1 species